rnacentral:lncRNA from 1 species
UUUUGCUUUUUUCAUACUCUGUUUCUUGAAGUACAGAGAUGUAAACAUGCACCUAUACCACAGUAAAUGUAACAUCCUUGCAUGAGGUCAGUGGUCAGGAGAGUACUCCACUGCUGUAGACUGUAAAUGGGUAUGUGUGGAAUUUUCCUUACUCCAGAGCCAGAGAUAUCUUCUGUGGUGUGUCUGGAGAGAGGGCACUGAAUACCGAACACCAGGAUCAUUGGUGAAGAGGUAGACUGCACUGAGGAAAGUGUAUUAAUAGGUGACAGAACGUAUGUCACACAAUAUCUAAGAAAGCCUCUGUCUAGAAGACUACAACCUAAUAAAGAGUGUCUGGAAGCAAUAAUAAGUACAAAAGGAGACAAAAUUUGAGAACCACUUUGAUGUUACUACGAGCAACCUUCCUUUGUGGGGCUGAUGUCCAAGUCCUGAACUGUCCGUGGACUCUGUGUCAGUGAUUGUAUACUGUCAUUUGGGAUGAAGGGAGCAUGCUGGGAGCUGGAGCAAUCUAAGAUCUAAUAGCUCUUCAGCUGAUAAUCAGCCCCUAAAACUGUCAACAAACGGAGUCAAAGAGGAAUUUUAAUUAAACAUAAUUAAAAACUCA